UAGGGUUUCUCAGGAUCAUGAAACCUAAUACUUGAAGAAAUGACAUUUGAGCAACACAGGCCAUCCUCCCCAUCACUGGAAAGUGAUGCAAUUUCAUCCUCCUCAGCCUGACUGACAACAGUGAAGAUUGACCUAUCAUCUGCACUGUAAUUUCUGGUAUCUUCUGUCUGAAGCACAAUGCAGUAUCAUCAGAUGAUUAAUCAAUAUAGCUGCAAAAAUGAAGUUGUGAGUGUACAGCUUUGGAAUUGUACAAUGAAACUACAGGACUCCCAGGGAUGACUCUGACAGGUGCCUAACCCUGCAGUCCCCAAAGGCUCCACCCAGGCAGGGGUAGAGUCCCUCCCAAUGGCUACCACUCUCUCCUCCUCAUUUCGUUGUAUAAGGAAUGUGGGCUGAGUCCAUGUGGACCUUCUAGACUUCAGGCCCAGCCUCCUUUACCUACCUAGGAUGGUUUUAGAUCAGCUUGGUGUUGAAGGCACGAGAGUGAGAAAGAGCAUCAUGAUGUGUGGACUGACUGACUUUAUAAACAAGAAGUGUCUACUAAACAGGUACAACUGUAGACAGAGAUGAGCUUUCAGCACAAUAUGAAGUCAAGCCUUGUCUUUUUUGUUUACCAGGGGCCACAAACUAGUUGAAAUUGUACUCAGGCAUUGGAGGUGUCUGCUCUGCACAACGUAUGGAAGAACAUACAGCAUUCUUGUGAAGUGUGCCGGACUUGUCUGGCAGUAUUAUGUUGUAUUGUACUCUGCAAACUGUGUUUCCCAUGAUACGAUCUCUCCUUGCAGGAUGAAAUAAUUUUCUGCAUGAAGCAGAAACUAUAUGAUGGUUCCACUAAAAAUGAAUU